ACUCCAUGAUGGGAACAUUGUCUAAGAAGCUAUUUGAACCUUUCUCAAGCGUCACAUAAGGAUGCAUUAUCUCCUUGUCUAAACUAAGUAAUCUCAUUCCUUAUCUU